CUCGUUGUGUACAUGUGUUUGCUCCAGCGCCCUUUGUGUGGAUUUACCCUGUGUUUUUUGGAUCAAAGACUGUUUACAUUUCCUCAUGCCUCCUGCGUGCUCCUUCCUACAGCGUACCGUGACAGAAGACACAACCAAGUCAUGGCUGUGGUUGGCGAGGGUGAAUGUAAAGAUGCCUCCGUCUUCAUUUCCAUUUCCACAGUUGUCCUCUUUCAUCAUGGAGCCAGUGGCCAUUUACCUCCAAACAUCACUUCAGUUUUCCCAGAGGAGCUCCGUCACAGGACCACGGAGCCUCGCUUUGAUCAUCACAAAGACCCCAGAGUCUCUCAGGGGGACAGGUCUCUGUUUUUUUUCUCACUCUCUUUCUUCAAAUCUCUUAUUUUCCCCUGAGAAACUCUCAUCUCUCAAGACAAAAAGGGCCAUGGUGGUGAGCAGUGAGGCAGAACUGGUUUUUCCCAAGUAACAAACCAAACCAGUCCUACUUAGCUCUUCAUCACAGUUUAG
ensembl:lncRNA